GAGGAGAGUACAGAGAGGAAAGCUACAGGACAAGGGAGGAGAGUACAGAGAGGAGAGCUACAGGUGAAGUGAGGAGAGUACAGAGAGGAGAGCUACAGGUGAAGGGAGGAGAGAACAGAGAGGAGAGCUACAGGUGAAGGGAGGAGAGUACAGAGAGGAGAGCUACAGAUGAAGAGAUGAGAGAACAGAGAGGAAAGCCACAGGUGAAGGGAGGAGAGAACAGAGAGGAGAGCUACAGGUGAAGGGAGGAGAGAACAGAGAGGAAAGUUACAGGAGAAGGGAGGAGAGAACAGAGAGGAGAGCAACAGGUGAAGGGAGGAGAGAACAGAGAGGAAAGCUACAGGACAAGGGAGGAGAGAACAGAGAGGAAAGUUACAGGAGAAGGGAGGAGAGAACAGAGAGGAGAGCUACAGGACAAGGGAGGAGAGAACAGAGAGGAGAGCAACAGGUGAAGAGAGGAGAGAACAGAGAGGAAAGCUACAGGACAAGGGAGGAAAGUACAGAGAGGAGAGCUACAGGUGAAGUGAGGAGAGUACAGAGAGGAAAGCUACAGGACAAGGGAGGAGAGAACAGAGAGGAAAGCUACAGGUGAAGGGAGGAGAGAACAGAGAGGAAAGCUACAGGUGAAGGGAGGAGAGAACAGAGAGGAAAGCUACAGGUGAAGGGAGGAGAGAACAGAGAGGAGAGCUACAGGUGAAGGGAGGAGAGAACAGAGAGGAGAGCUACAGGUGAAGGGAGGAGAGAACAGAGAGGAGAGCUACAGGUGAAGGGAGGAGAGUACAGAGAGGAAAGCUACAGGUGAAGGGAGGAGAGAACAGAGAGGAAAGCUACAGGUGAAGGGAGGAGAGAACAGAGAGGAGAGCUACAGGUGAAGGGAGGAGAGAACAGAGAGGAGAGCUACAGGUGAAGGGAGGAGAGAACAGAGAGGAGAGCUACAGGUGAAGGGAGGAGAGAACAGAGAGGAGAGCUACAGGUGAAGGGAGGAGAGAACAGAGAGGA